rnacentral:misc_RNA from 1 species
AGCCCAUAUCCCCUUCCUUUCAGUCCACUCAAGAUAGUCCUUCACUUCAUAAACAGGACCAGCAAAGUGGCUAACACAGCAAAGGCAGUAACCACAGUACUCAAUCAAUGAAGGCAGUUUAAUCAGCCUGUUUUUCUUCUGAGCCUCCCGUAAUUCUUCCUCCUUUAAUAAUCCAUCAUUGUAAUUUAUUGAGCAUGAUAUGACUUUCAGUGUUAACACCAUUAAGGCCCCAGUGGCAUC